GCCGCAGUGGCGCAACGGAUAGCGCGUCUGGUUUCUACCCAGAAGGUUGUGG
rnacentral:tRNA from 1 species